CACACCCCCACCCCUUUUUUUGUUUUUAAGUAAAUGUUUUUGGUUCUUUUUAAGUCCUCCCUAGGUUUCCGUACUAGGUCUCUUUAUUUCUGGUACACAGUUUUGUAGUUGAGGCACAAGUUCAUAAAAACUGAAAUAGCACUUCAGAGUUGGAAAAUGAAUAGGAUUGUCUGUGUAUCAAUUUCCUGUUAAUCACCAAAAUCCUCAGGAACUGCCUUUCAAAGGAAUUCUGAGGACAGCAGCCAGUAGGGAAGUUGGUCAGUGCCAGGGCAGAAGAAAAACAUAAGGCUCCUGCAGUGACAGCCCUGGCCUCAGGGUUCUGAUCUCCAUGCUUGCUCAGGAGGGUGAAAACAAGCACCAUCUCUGGAACGUUGUUUGUUCCGCUGGACUAUCCUCAUCUGUUUGCUCAGAGUAUUUCUUCAUGAGAUGGAAAUUCUGACCCUUGGUGAAGCUGUGCCAAACUGGGAGUGAUCACUUUGAGUAACAUAUGGUCGUGACUUUUAAAGAGCACUGGGAGCUGCACUUAGUGAUGCAUUAACUUGUAACCUCAGGAAAGGACACAAACUUGAGUUUCUGGCUGAAUACCAAAUGUUGCUUUGUAUAUGUUAAGAAUACUGAUAAAAUACAAAUCUCUGCAUAUCAGUGAUGUAAUUAGGAAUUCAGUCCCUGAGCAUGUACAUUCACAUGGCCCUAAAAAGAAAGUCCCUUGGGAAUGUAAGACAAAUGAAUCUGAUUAAUGAAUCUUUUUCUAACUUUCUUGUGUUUCUGCUCACCAAAUGUUCCUUUGAAAAGGUAAUUUCACUACCUGUGAAUAAGGUCCGUUGAUAGCAAUGGUAAUGGCCCAGUAACUGAUACUGUAUACUAACACUGUAUAUAACUUGUGCCAUCAUUGUAAAUGAACAUAACAUUAUGGGAGCACUUAAUUAGAGAUGCAGUUUGAGAAAUGCUCUCCUUUGAUUCCCAUCUUGUUUGUAUUAAGACUUGUGAUGUUGAUUGUCAUGCUAAACUGUUUUGAAACAUUCUUUAUUCUGUAGGUGUAGAACAAUGUCAUUUAUGUAUAGGUAUCUUUUAAUUAAUCUUGUUUAUAAUACUGCACUAUUCUGUAAAUAACAAGAUACCGCUUUCCAUGGGUUUGAAGAUUUGUGUUAUAGUUUAGUUGCCUUUUCUUAACAAUUUAUGUACCGUUACCUAUUAUUUUGAAAAUGACAGUGUUUAAUGAACCAGUAAAUGCAGAAAUGUAGCUGUAGAAGAAAACUUUGCUUAGAAUUCUUGAGAGCCUGUAUUCAGUGCUGAACAGUUACGUGUGUGGAGCAUUGCUAAAGUGGCAGUUAACUCAUGCAAUGAUUUCCUUGCUUGUUAACUCUGUAAAUAAUUUGCACUUACAGCCUGCUGUGUUAGAGAAGUUAUUUUUUAGAGGCACUAGAAAAGAACAAAUCAACUUUGGUUUAAUGAAAAUGUACCAUUUUUCUAAGAAGGAUGUGUUAAAUUUGGAAGUUGCAUUCCUGAGCCACCUGUUUUCUAAUGCAUUUCACUUGGGUAUAGAUGAAUUCAAAGAUUUAAACUCUCACUGUUAAGCAUAUCUAACUGCUUACAGUUCAUGGGCUUGAGCAGCAAGUUGUGUGGUUUCUGGUUGUGGGUUUUGGGGUGGGUUUUUUUUUGUUUUGGCUAGGAGAGAAACUUAUUAAUGCCAUCUAGUAUAAUCAAAAGAUUUCCAUCAUAAAUGGUAAUAGGUUUGGUAUCUACGAAGUAGAGAUACCUGCACAAAGAUGUAACUUCAGUCUAACUAUACAUGGGCUCAAAGCUAAUAGUUCGCUCCACUAAACAGAUAAUUAUCUCUUAAGCAUUUCACUCUUAAAAAGAAAUGAGAGUAAAUGUUUUUCUUCUCCAUUUUGAUGUGCACUUCAUGAAUUGCAUCCUUCUGUUCCUAGCAGUAUGAUGUUAAUUGAAAAGAAAGUUGAUGCUUCCUUGCAGCAUGGCUUCUAGAAGGUUCUGGAUAGAUAACUUCAGGACUAUGUUACAAUGCAGCAUAUAGCUGCCUGCUUUUAGAUAUCCCAUGCAUUCCCUCAUUUUACAGCCAUCAAGCGUGUAACAUUGCCUGGUAAUCGUCUAGUUUUCCCUGUAGGCUCCCUUCUCAGUAAUGCUUCAGUAGAUGUAAUUUGUGGAACCUCUUCCACUUGUACCAUCAGAUGAUCAAUUUCAUACUAUGUGCCUGGUAUGCAUUUUGAGGAUUAGGCAUUGUGCUUGCCACUCUAGCACCAAGGGUCCAGAGCUGUAGCAUUUGUUUUUAGUUGGCACCAAUGCAGUUCCUGUCAAAGAUUGCUUUUGUUUUACUCUCUGCAACAGAGAUACCUUCAAUGCAGAUUGUUGACAUGGACCCUUACUAUAGUCAAGCUUUUUAAUGGUAUUUUUAACACUGCAAAUUUUUGAGAGAGGUUGAUGUAGGAAGAGGAGGUGCUCAUCUUCACAGAGGUUCAGAGGAAGCUAUGGUCACCUGUGCUUGAGAGCAAGGACACUGCUGACUGCUCCAUCUUCUUCCUCAAAAUAGUUGAGCUCACCACAUUAUCUUAGAUAAUCUAAGAUAAUCUCAAUUUAUCCUGCUUUUUUUUUUUUUUUUUUUUAAUUUGAGCUGCAAGGACAAAACAAGAUGCAGUCCCGCUCCCUGUGACUUCAGGUUUCCCUCCUGCCCAAAGCACAGUGGUGAGCUGGAGCUGUUGCUCUCAGUGGGUAGGCAGAGCUGUGAACUUAGGUCAGCUCCGAAGAGAGGCAAGAGAGAAACUCGUUGGGGUGGGAUGAAAGAUGACACGGUGUGUUUGGGCUUUGUGCGUUUGGCUGGGCUUGCUGAAACCAAGAUGUUCUGGAUGCUUGGAAGUCUGCAAUUCCAGUUUGAAACUCAGGUGGUAAAAAUACUUCAUGUUGUCUACACUGAACUAAGUUGAAGCAAUAAAGGUGCAUAUAUGUUCAUGAUGUUCUAGUGGCAAUGUUCAUGAAAGCCAGAGGUUCAUUUUUCCUAAUUGUCCAACUCGGGAACUAUAUGUGGAUUUGUUGGUUUGUUGUUAUUUUCUACCACUGAAGAUGGCAAAAGCCAAUUCAAGAGCAUUAAGAAACUCCCAAGACUUUGCACUGUGAGGCAAAAUGAGUAUUUUCAUCUGAAUGUAGUCUCAUGCACACAAGAAAGUACAAAUGAAAUGGUUUGUUGUGCCUGGUUAAAGAAAUCUGAGCAACAUACACUCAUAAAAGACGUCUACAAUGUAAGAUGAGAUUUUUAAGCAGAAAUUUGCUAUCUGAUUGGGGGCCAAGCAGUGAUUUUAUUUUAACAUGCCUAGCACACAAGUUUCCUCAGUGUUGCAUUAUUUCAGGUGGCAUUAAUAAAAAUGCAUCUGACUGUCAGUUCAUUAUGACUGUGUCAGUGCUGUGAGCAUUGCCACAACAGUCAACAGCCUCCUACCAACCUCAGACCAGAUGUGUGACUUGGAUGUUCUUUGCACACUGGCUGUCCUCCCUAACUAACAUUACACAUAAAGUAUACAGCCCUGAUAAUAUUACUUAAGAACUUGUAUUUACAGGGACAUUUAUUUUUUUCUACUGUAAUGCUCCAGUCCAUGCUUAUAUGUUUAUGUGUGCCUAUCUGUGCAUGUGAAUAAUUCUGAAAUACUUUUCUGAUAGCGCUGUUAUAAGUAAUGCACAUAAAUGCUCCUCUGUACAGCAUGUUGAUAAUGUAAUUAUGGCUUACUUUGUAUUAUUAGUUCCAAAGAAAAUACUGUGUGUUAAUUUUGAAAAGACCUGUGCCUUGAAUUCACCUUCUAUUUUUAUCUAUUGUGAAAAAGAGCUUGGGUUACUUCUCCCAAUUUGUUGUUGUUAGGAUCAGCCUUACUGUCCAGACUCCUGAUGUCUUUCUAAGAGAAAUAAAUCUUACCAUUAGCUAACCAUAAUAGGUAAACCUCUUGUUUAGAAUAUGCUUAGAAUGCUUCCAUUAUUACAGGCUGUGGCAGAUUUAAACUAGGGAAAUCAGUGUUUGUCUCUUCCUAUUCUUCGUUUUCUGCGCUCCUCAGUUGCAGAGGGUUGGAGUUUAGUCUUUGACUUCCUGUCCUUAACAUGUACAGUUUCUUGUUUUAGUCAGCAGCCUCUACGCUCUUUCUGAACACUCUGACUUGUCAGUCAUGAACCUCUUGUUCAAUGUAUGUAAUAUGAAGCAAUAAUACGGUGCAGCAUGACAAUAAGGAAAUCAAGAGACUUGAAUGUAAUGUAUUAUUACCAAGUUCAUCUGUGCAAAUGCUGGACCUGUGAGUCAUUCUCCUCAUGGUGCACCUGUAGCAAUUUGGAGUUGGAUUAAUAGGAGCUACUUGGACAUGGAAAGAGAAUUUACCUCCUGAACUGUUACUCCUAUGAUAUCUUCACCUGAAAUCAUGUUCUGAUUUUCCUUUUUGCUAAGGAAAACAGCAUUUCGUUAUUCCUUGCCAGUUCCUUUAUUUAAUGAAACAUAAAAGGCAUAGUUCUGCAAAGAGCUGAUACUGUCUUCAAGAACAACCUGGUGCAGCACAAAGGACAUUUGAACAAAAGAAGUGCAGACCACUUACUGUGUGCCAGAGUCAGUGUAACAUUAUCUCACAUAUAACAUUAAGGUCUUCAGAUUGUGCUGGCAGUAGGAAAGUGAUUUUGUAAUGUAGCACAACUGCAAUAACACCUGUUAUAUUUAAAUAUAUUUCUUGCAUAAAUCUUUGAAAAUUUUUUAAAGUUCAGUGUACCUAAUAAACAUUUUGCCUUU